ACGCCGGAGCAGCCCGGAGCUUUACUCCGCUUCGGGGUGCGAGAGGAGCGGCGGGCGGGAGAGCUGGACAGAGGCGCCUCGGGAGACGUGCGACCCCACCGAACGGACUUCAAUGUCGCCCAGGUGACCCUCCUCCGGGAUCCCCACCUUCUUCUUCCUCAGGAGCCCUGCUGGCACGCUUAAUUCUGUCCGCGUUCCUGCUAUGGUAUCAGCUAACUCUGGCGGGUUUUCUGCCGCCCUUAAAGUGUGUUUGCUUAUUCCCUUUCACAAUAACCCUGGAAGCACUCUGACAUUGACCAAGAAGGAGCUCUGGCAGUGUCUCAGUCCUUGAGAUGUCCUUGGGGCAUGGAAGCAUAGAUCUGACAUGUUGGAAACCUUAGUGGGAUUUUUGAAGGAGCUAUUCUCAGAGUGGCGGUAUAUAUACACAUAUACGUAUAAACAUGUAUAUACAUACAUACAUACAUACUUACAUACAUAUAUAUACACACACACACACGCACACACACACAAUUUUAUUUCUACUACUCAUUAGCCACCCUCUUGCCACUGUCUACAUAUAUUAAAAAUCCCAGGUAGGCAACAAAAAAGACCAUUUUGGAGGCUUUCAGUGAGCCUAAUAUUACAUCCACAAGGAACAGCAUAGGAAGGUGUCCCCAACUGAUUUUAAAACAUCUGAUUUGAGCUGACUAAUCUGGUUAUACAGGCAGGAGGUGUGGUAUGCAAACGAGGGACUAUUUAUUUCCGCAGGUCACAGGUUUAUAUAGGAAGCAGUCACAAGCUUUGCAUGAAAGCUGGUCAACACUUCUCACGUUUCUCUGAUCAAUGGUUUCUUCUAAGGAAGUGUUCCCUGUCCUCUUGAAUGAAUAAUAGCUGCCGAAAGUUUACUGGUCGAGAAAAAAAAAAGCAUCUGGGCUUCGCCUUUCGAGGCGGGUGCACUGUCUGGAGUGGGUGUGGCCAGAGCAAGGUUUCCUGGACCAGGUCUCCUGGAUUCAAUUGUAGUAGAUUAGCUUGCUGCUGGAGUAUUUUCACAUUGACUGUAAAGUACGGAAAACAGCCAGACUUGAAGGCAUUCCAGCAGGUUGCUGGGGAAGGAGCUGCUUAGCUGACAGUCCCUCACUCUAGGCUGCCAGGAAUCAGGAAGGGAAUGAUGUCCUUGUCCUUCAAAGAGCUGAAUUUUUAUUUAUUGACGUCGGAACAAAAAAGUGUUUACAAUAAAGACUUAAAAAUUCAACACAAAACGUUUUAAGCAGCAUUUAACAACACUUUAGAGCAUUUAACAUUUGUUAAGGUUUAUUUUAUGUGUGGGUGUUUUGCAGGCAAGUGUGUACCUGUGCACCACAUGCAUGCAGUACCAAAGAAUUCCAGAGAGGGCGCCAGAUGUCCUUCAACUGUAAGACUGCCCUUAGCCACCAUACUUCAUACUACAAAAAAACCCAGAAGUUUCUUCAAAAGCAACAAGCACUCUUAACUGGUGAACUGUCUCUCCAGUCCCCCAUUUAUCUAUUUUUUAAGCAUUUAGCCACUGGCUCUAGGGAGCGUUGGAUCCUUCUGUCUUUCUCCACAGCUCAACAAGCUGAACAGGGGUAUAAACCCUGCAUGUUGACCCAGUGAAACAAAAUACCUAGCAGGUAAAAUGGAACUUCUUAGUAAGAAACAGUGGUCAGCUAAUGGCAAACUACAGUCGAUCAAGAGCCAAACCCUAUGAAAUUGC
rnacentral:lncRNA from 1 species